rnacentral:lncRNA from 1 species
GCAAAUACCAGAAUUUUCCAGGGUAAUAUCUCACCCCACACCCAAGACAAAAAACAUCUAUUAAUAGAUGGUGUUCUAGGGUUUUAGAUGAGAUCAAAUUGCAUCAUGAUAAGGGCAAUCCUUAUCAGAUUUGAACUUGAAUGUCAAAUCAGAUUUGAACUCAAAUUUUAAAUAAGAUUUGAACUCAAAUUCAAAUCAAUCUUUAUCCAAACCUUGGGCAUUGAGAAUAGGGGGUGACUUUAGCUUUUCAUAUGGAG